rnacentral:rRNA from 1 species
UACGUAGGGACCAAGCGUUGUUCGGAUUUACUGGGCGUAAAGGGCGCGUAGGCGGCAAUUCAAGUCAUCUGUGAAAUCUCCGGGCUUAACUCGGAACGGUCAGAUGAUACUGCUUUGCUAGAGCGCGGAAGGGGCAAUCGGAAUUCUUGGUGUAGCGGUGAAAUGCGUAGAUAUCAAGAGGAACACCUGAGGUGAAGACGGGUUGCUGGGCCGACACUGACGCUGAGUGCGCGAAAGCCAGGGGAGCAAACGGG